ACGCACGCUGGCGGCGUGCUUCACACAUGCAAGUCGAACGGAAAGGCCCUGCUUUUGUGGGGUGCUCGAGUGGCGAACGGGUGAGUAACACGUGAGUAACCUGCCCUUGACUUUGGGAUAACUUCAGGAAACUGGGGCUAAUACCGGAUAGGAGCUCCUGCUGCAUGGUGGGGGUUGGAAAGUUUCGGCGGUUGGGGAUGGACUCGCGGCUUAUCAGCUUGUUGGUGGGGUAGUGGCUUACCAAGGCUUUGACGGGUAGCCGGCCUGAGAGGGUGACCGGCCACAUUGGGACUGAGAUACGGCCCAGACUCCUACGGGAGGCAGCAGUGGGGAAUAUUGCACAAUGGGCGGAAGCCUGAUGCAGCAACGCCGCGUGCGGGAUGACGGCCUUCGGGUUGUAAACCGCUUUCGCCUGUGACGAAGCGUGAGUGACGGUAAUGGGUAAAGAAGCACCGGCUAACUACGU
rnacentral:rRNA from 1 species